ACAAGCAGCGGAGCGUGUGGUUUAAUUCGAUGCAACGCGAAGAACCUUACCAGGGUUUGACAUGCUUAAAGUAGAAACUCGAAAGAGGGACGACCUGUAUCCAGUCAGGAAUUUGCACAGGUGCUGCAUGGCUGUCGUCAGCUCGUGCCGUGAGGUGUUAGGUUAAGUCCUGCAACGAGCGCAACCCUCGUCGCUAGUUAUUUUCUCUAGCGAUACUGCCCGUAUAACGUGGAGGAAGGUGGGGAUGACGUCAAGUCAGCAUGGCCCUUACAUCCUGGGCUACACACACGCUACAAUGGGUGAUACAAAAGGUUGCGAUAGAGCGAUCUGGAGCCAAUCCCCAAAAUCAUCCUCAGUACGGAUUGCAGGCUGCAACUGCCUGCAUGAAGUUGGAGUUGCUAGUAAACGCAGGUCAGCACACUGCGUUGAAUACGUUCUCGGGCCUU
rnacentral:rRNA from 1 species